AGGGGUGUAGCUCAGUGGCAGAGUGCUUGGCUGGCAGUUUUGUGGCCCUAAAUUUGACCUUUAGCACCUCAA
rnacentral:tRNA from 1 species